rnacentral:rRNA from 1 species
GGUUAAGCGACUAAGCGUACACGGUGGAUGCCCUGGCAGUCAGAGGCGAUGAAGGGCGUGCUAAUCUGCGAUAAGCGCCGGUAAGGUGAUAUGAACCGUUAUAACCGGCGAUACCCGAAUGGGGAAACCCAGUGUGACUCGUCACACUAUCAUUAACUGAAUCCAUAGGUUAAUGAGGCGAACCGGGGGAACUGAAACAUCUAAGUACCCCGAGGAAAAGAAAUCAACCGAGAUUCCCCCAGUAGCGGCGAGCGAACGGGGAGGAGCCCAGAGCCUGAAUCAGCAUGUGUGUUAGUGGAAGCGUCUGGAAAGGCGCGCGAUACAGGGUGACAGCCCCGUACACAAAAGCGCAUGUGCUGUGAGCUCGAUGAGUAGGGCGGGACACGUGGUAUCCUGUCUGAAUAUGGGGGGACCAUCCUCCAAGGCUAAAUACUCCUGACUGACCGAUAGUGAACCAGUACCGUGAGGGAAAGGCGAAAAGAACCCCGGCGAGGGGAGUGAAAAAGAACCUGAAACCGUGUACGUACAAGCAGUGGGAGCCCCACCACUAAGCCAGUGGUGAACUCCACAUCCGCAUCCUUUGCUGAGGAUACGGUUAACGGAGCGAAAGCGACGUUCAACCGCAAAACAAGCAGAGGGGGCUUAGUGGUGGGGUGACUGCGUACCUUUUGUAUAAUGGGUCAGCGACUUAUAUUCUGUAGCAAGGUUAACCGAAUAGGGGAGCCGGAGGGAAACCGAGUCUUAAUUGGGCGUUAAGUUGCAGGGUAUAGACCCGAAACCCGGUGAUCUAGCCAUGGGCAGGUUGAAGGUUGGGUAACACUAACUGGAGGACCGAACCGACUAAUGUUGAAAAAUUAGCGGAUGACCUGUGGCUGGGGGUGAAAGGCCAAUCAAACCGGGAGAUAGCUGGUUCUCCCCGAAAGCUAUUUAGGUAGCGCCUCGUGAAUUCAUCUCCGGGGGUAGAGCACUGUUUCGGCUAGGGGGCCAUCCCGGCUUACCAACCCGAUGCAAACUGCGAAUACCGGAGAAUGUUAUCACGGGAGACACACGGCGGGUGCUAACGUCCGUCGUGAAGAGGGAAACAACCCAGACCGCCAGCUAAGGUCCCAAAGUCAUGGUUAAGUGGGAAACGAUGUGGGAAGGCCCAGACAGCCAGGAUGUUGGCUUAGAAGCAGCCAUCAUUUAAAGAAAGCGUAAUAGCUCACUGGUCGAGUCGGCCUGCGCGGAAGAUGUAACGGGGCUAAACCAUGCACCGAAGCUGCGGCAGCGACGCUGAUGCGUUGUUGGGUAGGGGAGCGUUCUGUAAGCCUGCGAAGGUGACCUGUGAGGGUUGCUGGAGGUAUCAGAAGUGCGAAUGCUGACAUAAGUAACGAUAAAGCGGGUGAAAAGCCCGCUCGCCGGAAGACCAAGGGUUCCUGUCCAACGUUAAUCGGGGCAGGGUGAGUCGACCCCUAAGGCGAGGCCGAAAGGCGUAGUUGAUGGGAAACGGGUUAAUAUUCCCGUACUUGGUGUUACUGCGAAGGGGGGACGGAGAAGGCUAUGUUGGCCGGGCGACGGUUGUCCCGGUUUAAGCGUGUAGGUGUGUGUUCCAGGUAAAUCCGGUUCACUUUAACACUGAGGCGUGAUGACGAGGCACUACGGUGCUGAAGCAACAAAUGCCCUGCUUCCAGGAAAAGCCUCUAAGCAUCAGGUAACAUCAAAUCGUACCCCAAACCGACACAGGUGGUCAGGUAGAGAAUACCAAGGCGCUUGAGAGAACUCGGGUGAAGGAACUAGGCAAAAUGGUGCCGUAACUUCGGGAGAAGGCACGCUGACACGUAGGUGAAGUGAUUUACUCAUGGAGCUGAAGUCAGUCGAAGAUACCAGCUGGCUGCAACUGUUUAUUAAAAACACAGCACUGUGCAAACACGAAAGUGGACGUAUACGGUGUGACGCCUGCCCGGUGCCGGAAGGUUAAUUGAUGGGGUCAGCGCAAGCGAAGCUCCUGAUCGAAGCCCCGGUAAACGGCGGCCGUAACUAUAACGGUCCUAAGGUAGCGAAAUUCCUUGUCGGGUAAGUUCCGACCUGCACGAAUGGCGUAAUGAUGGCCAGGCUGUCUCCACCCGAGACUCAGUGAAAUUGAACUCGCUGUGAAGAUGCAGUGUACCCGCGGCAAGACGGAAAGACCCCGUGAACCUUUACUAUAGCUUGACACUGAACAUUGAGCCUUGAUGUGUAGGAUAGGUGGGAGGCUUUGAAGUGUGGACGCCAGUCUGCAUGGAGCCGACCUUGAAAUACCACCCUUUAAUGUUUGAUGUUCUAACGUGGACCCGUAAUCCGGGUUGCGGACAGUGUCUGGUGGGUAGUUUGACUGGGGCGGUCUCCUCCUAAAGAGUAACGGAGGAGCACGAAGGUUGGCUAAUCCUGGUCGGACAUCAGGAGGUUAGUGCAAUGGCAUAAGCCAGCUUGACUGCGAGCGUGACGGCGCGAGCAGGUGCGAAAGCAGGUCAUAGUGAUCCGGUGGUUCUGAAUGGAAGGGCCAUCGCUCAACGGAUAAAAGGUACUCCGGGGAUAACAGGCUGAUACCGCCCAAGAGUUCAUAUCGACGGCGGUGUUUGGCACCUCGAUGUCGGCUCAUCACAUCCUGGGGCUGAAGUAGGUCCCAAGGGUAUGGCUGUUCGCCAUUUAAAGUGGUACGCGAGCUGGGUUUAGAACGUCGUGAGACAGUUCGGUCCCUAUCUGCCGUGGGCGCUGGAGAACUGAGGGGGGCUGCUCCUAGUACGAGAGGACCGGAGUGGACGCAUCACUGGUGUUCGGGUUGUCAUGCCAAUGGCACUGCCCGGUAGCUAAAUGCGGAAGAGAUAAGUGCUGAAAGCAUCUAAGCACGAAACUUGCCCCGAGAUGAGUUCUCCCUGAGACUUUAGGUCUCCUGAAGGAACGUUGAAGACGACGACGUUGAUAGGCCGGGUGUGUAAGCGCAGCGAUGCGUUGAGCUAACCGGUACUAAUGAACCGUGAGGCUUAACCUU